rnacentral:siRNA from 1 species
UUAGGCUUUUAAGAUCGGGUU